UUAAAAAAAAUCAAAGAUGUGAUUAGAUUACGAUUGAUUGGCCUAAAAAAUAUAGCUUAUGAUCGUGUUAACAAAGAACCAUGUGAGAGCUGGGAGUUAAGUAGGGACUCAUUUGGUGGUGUAAAAAGUUUUACAGUAUGUAAUUGUUGGUUGGUAGUAGUUCUAACGCUUCUUGGAUAAUGAAUAAAAAUUACUUAUCCAAAAAAUUAAAAAAAAAAAGUAUCAAAUGUAGGGUUUAGGAAGGGUUAGCGAAAGAGGGAAAACAGGAAAUGGAAGGCUGGGACACCCGAAUACGAAGUCGACGCUGACCCAGAUCCCGAUACUGACGACGAAGGCGGGCCCCAGAGACGGAGCUGUAUGGACUCAGAGGCUGAAAGAAUAGUACAGGGCUCUGAUCGCCUACACCCAAAUGAACAAAUGCAACGACAACGAUUGAUUCCAGCCAAUCCCGAAGGGACAUGUUGGACCGGCAAGUGCUGGUCCGUCCAUAACCUCCUCAAGUAUGAGUUCGAUCUCCAGUUUGAUAUACCCGUUACUUAUCCGGCCACUGCUCCCGAACUUGAGUUGCCCCAACUCGAUGGCAAGACUCAGAAGAUGUAUAGAGGAGGUAAGAUUUGUUUGACCGUGCAUUUCAAGCCACUUUGGGCAAAAGAUUGUUUGCAAUUACUAAUCUAGCUGCUGGGUUUUGACGGGAAAUGGCAUCGAUUAAGAUGUAUGGAUGUACUUAAGAGCAAAAUGUGACCUUUGAUCAAGUAGAGAAGGUUUACAUGACAUUGGCUUGAAAGUAUUCAUAAUCUUUGUAGGAAAAAUUCCAUUUGAAGUAUAACAAUCAUCCUUUAAAUUUACAUUGUUGAAUGAGCAAAUUAUUUGUGCCACUUUCAACAUUUGUCCGAUGCAGGCAAAUAAUUAACAGUGAUAGUUCUUGGUAAUGCAACCUACUGGGUAGCAGCAAAGCUAGGUUGAGUUGGAUUAAAACCGUUGAGGAAAUAGUAGCUGAAGUUAGAUGGAAAGCUAGAUGAAGAUAUAGAAGGCAAUGCUGAUCAAGCCAUGACGAUCCUAGGUUUGGUAUAGCACAUGUGUCACGGACCUAAGGGGGAGUCUUGAAUCCCACAUCGAACAUAAUAGGAAGGUCCCUGGGGUAUAAAAGGGUUCACCCCAUCUCCGUCUUGUGAGACGCUUUUUGUAGGACAAAACCGUGAGACCAGGGGGCCAGAGCGGACAAUACCUCACAAGGGUGUGAACCGUGGCGGUCAGGCUGAUCCGGGAUGCCGGAAUGGUGAAUGCCCGGGUCCCGGAGCCGCGCGGGUUUGGAGCUUAAGUCUCGACCCGUGUCAAGUGGUAUCAGAGCCAACCCUAAACCGUUCGAUCCACGCUGAGCGCCUCGAGGGAGGUAGGCAGGGUGGCCGGCCUCCGUGAUGAGGGCGUCAUGAGGUUGGGUGCGGGAGAAUGUCACGGACCUAAGGGGGAGUCCUGAAUCCCACAUCGAACAUAAUAGG